rnacentral:rRNA from 1 species
CCUACGGGUGGCAGCAGUGAGGAAUAUUGGUCAAUGGACGAGAGUCUGAACCAGCCAAGGAGCGUGAAGGAUGACUGCCCUAUGGGUUGUAAACUUCUUUUAUAUGGGAAUAAAAUGUUCCACGUGUGGGAUUUUGUAUGUACCAUAUGAAUAAGGAUCGGCUAACUCCGUGCCAGCAGCCGCGGUAAUACGGAGGAUCCGAGCGUUAUCCGGAUUUAUGGUGUUUAAAGGGAGCGUAGGUGGAUUGGUAAGUCAGUUGUGAAAGUUUGCGGCUCAACCGUAAAAUUGCAGUUGAAACUGGCAGUCUUGAGUACAGUAGAGGUGGGCGGAAUUCGUGGUGUAGCGGUGAAAUGCUUAGAUAUCACGAAGAACUCCGAUUGCGAAGGCAGUUCACUGGACUGCAACUGACACUGAGGCUCGAAAGUGUGGGUAUCAAACAGGAUUAGAUACCCUAGUAGUC